rnacentral:rRNA from 1 species
UACGGGGGGGGCAAGCGUUGUUCGGAAUUACUGGGCGUAAAGGGCUCGUAGGUGGCCAACUAAGUCAUACGUGAAAUCCCUCGGCUUAACCGGGGAACUGCGUCUGAUACUGGAUGGCUUGAGUGUGGGAGAGGGAUGCGGAAUUCCAGGUGUAGCGGUGAAAUGCGUAGAUAUCUGGAGGAACACCGGUGGCGAAGGCGGCAUCCUGGACCAUUACUGACGCUGAGUGAGCGAAAGCCAGGGGAGCAAACGGG